GUAAAUUAAACCCAGUGUAUGCAUAGGAAAGGAAAUAGUAAAGAUCAGAAGAAAGAUCAAUGAAAUAUAAAACAGAAAAAUAGAAAAAAAUAAAUGAAACCAAAAGCUAGUUCUUUGAGAAGAUCAAUAAAAUUGAUAAACCUCUAGUCAGACUCUUAAGGAAAAAAAAAGAUACAGGGCACAAAUUACUAAUACCAAGAAUGAGAGAAGUGGCUUGACUGCAGAUUAUGCUGAUUUUAAUAAGGUUAAUGAGAGAAUAUUAUGAACAACUUAGAUGUGAAUAAAUUCAGCAACUUAGGUGAAAUAGACAAAUUCAUUUUGAAAGACGCAAACUACAAAAGCUUACUCAAGAAGAAAUAGAUAACUUGAAUAACUCUAUAUCUGACAAAGAAAUUGAAUUUGUAGUUAAAAAUCUUCCUGUGAAGAAAAUGGGAGGCCCAAAUGGCAUCACUUGGAAAUUCUAAACUUUUAACGAAAAAAAAGCCAAUUCUCACAAACUCUUCCAAAAGAUUGAAGAGAAGGGAAUACUUUCCAACUCAUUUCAUGAGGCCAACUUUACUCUAAUACUAGAAAACAGACAGACAUUACGAUAAAAGAAAAUUACAGACCAAUAUCCCUCAUGAACGUAGAUGCAAACAUUCUAAAUAAAAGGGAACUCAUAAUCCAUUACUAAAAGCAAAACCCUAAUGACUCUCUUAAUUCUGUUGAAGUUUUUUGUAGAAAGUCACAUGCAUUUAUAUUUCUAAUAAAGUAUAUACUAUUGAUAUACAUUUUAGUGUUUGGUGUUCCUAAGAAACUGAUUCGGUGUGAGGAAGCGCCAGAACAGAAAGAAGCCACAGAGAGAAAUGGCUUUGCCUUCCAGGGGACUUUAUAACCGCUUUCACUAUGUGAAGUGGUCUAUAUACCACAUUUUGGGAAAUACUGGACUAGAGAAGAUGUCAUAGUGUCCUGUGUUGUUUAGAAUGCUGCUUUUUUUGUGCAUUUAUGUUUCAAGUUAUAGCACCUCCCUUCCAGGACAAAAAAGCUACUAGGAGUAAGUAUGGGGGAAAAAGCAUAUUUACAGGAAGAAACAUUUUGGAUUGUAUUUUAACUCAUAUUUUGUGCCAAUAUGGAUAUGAAGCAGUUAUGAGGAUGUUCCUUUUUGCCUAUGUGAUAAAGUUGUCCUCUUCUAGUCCAUACCAUUUCUCUGGAGCUUCACCUGUAGCUCUGGGUAAAAGGAGACUAUAGCCUAAAGGCUCCCAAGUUAGGCACUCUUUCUCUCAUUUUCCUGUUAAAAUAAGACCUUUCACUUUAGUUUCCUUCUGUUACUGCUCAGGGGGUAAGCUUGUGAGGGCAGGCCCGUGUCUGUCUGGUUUAUCACUGUGUCUGUAGCACCACACCUCCUCGGCACAGAGUAGGGGCUGAGUGAAUAUUUGUUGAACUAAUGAAUGAGUGAACGAGCAAGCAUAUUCAUACAAGGACUUGUCAGGUGAGCAGGUCAAAUAUUAUUGAGGGUGGAACUGAGGCAAGGGGAAGUUAUGAGGUAUCUUUAAUGUCAGAUGAUCAGGGACUGAAAUGGGACUUGUAAGUCUUUUGCCCUUUUAUAGUGUAGGUCCUUGAAAUAUGUUUGUGGAAUAAAUGAGUUAGUGAAAGAACAAUGUAUGUUGUUCUCUUAAACACACUCAUAUUUUAUUGGAUGAAAAGGGAAACUUUUAAAGAGAGAGAAACUGCCUUUGUGGCUUCAUGUUGUGAGGAACUAGGCCAGGUGGGAAUGAGGAGACAGAAUGGGCAGAUUUAAAGUGACUUAAGUAUCUUAGAAGUAACUGAACAUAUUGUCUAUUAGUAAGAGUAAUUUAAUGGUGGGAUGACAGGGAGUGCCUUAAACUAGCUCACAAACCAGUUUUUGUCUUUGUCAUAAAUAUGUGAUUAAGAAGAAACUUGUUUCAUGCUGGAAAAUUCUUCUUGUGAGAUCUUUAUUUUGGUACACAAUGCACCAAAACAUUUGUUUCUAUUUACCUUGAAAAAACCCCCUCCAGAGAUAGCAUGUGGGGAGCAGCCAUCUGUUCAGGAUUACACUUCUGAAUUGCUGUUUCUCUGAACCCGCCUGACUCUGUAUAUGUUCAUGUAACAUAUCAGGACUGUUUCCCCCCUUUAUCAAGUUCGUUUAUCAACACCGUCGAAAGGAUGUACUUAUAUUCUAGUGUGCAUUAGAACUGUUAAUUGGCUAUUGCAUAACAGGUUAAACUGGGAACCCUGGAGUCUCUGGAUUCAGUUGCUGAUUGUUUUUACUCUGCCAUCAGACCUCGGAACAAGUCAUUAUAUAUGUCUUACCUUUCCCCAAAAUAAAUAGCUUUAAAUGUUCAUGAAAUUAGGGGCAGCUCAGAUGCUGUGUAGCUGGUUAGGACUCUAGUAGCAGUGGGCUGAGGUACAGUAGAAGGGAAAAGAGAAGUAUGUAUAACAGUAAUCUUGAUUCUUAUGCCCACUACUCCCAUUGGACCCCUAAGACUCUGAUACUGCACAAGUGGAGAGAGACCCCGCUAUCGCCAGGUAAGCAUCUCUUCUGGGUGAAACUAUGCUGCCUUAACACUGAUAUAGACUUUAAAAAGGCUGUUUUCAUGUGCAUAAUCUCACAUCAACCUCAUUUCAAACACAGAGGGAAAUAGGGCAAAUUUUAUUACCCCAGUUUGUGUGUGUGUGUGAGGAAAAUAGGCCCUGAGCUAACAUCUGUUGCCAGUUUUCCUCUUUUCACUUGAGGAAGCUUGUCAUUAACAUCUGUGCCAAUCCUCUUCUAUUUUGUAUAUGGGAUGCAGCCACAGCAUGGCUUGAUAAUCGGUGUGUAAGUCCGUGCCCAGGAUCUGAACCCAUGAACCCUGGGCUGCCGAAGCGGGGCAUGCGAACUUAACUACUACGCCACCUGGCCAGCAUCUAUUACCCUAGUUUUACUGGUGACAAAAUGGAGGCUCUAAUUGUCUAGGUGAUUUGGUCAAAGUCACACAAUUAUUGGGUCAUAGAGCCAGGACCUGAGCUCAUACUUUCUGAUCCCCUUCCUAUUAUGCUAAUUCUUUGAUUUAUCUUGGAAAAGACAUAUAAGGAGUUAAAGGCAUGUUUCAUUUAUAGUUGGUGUGGUGUUAACUUCUUUGACUCCCUUGCAAAAUUUUAUUUGCCUUUAAGCAAGAUCCUUUAACUUAAGCAAAAACUACACCAAACAAAACCAUCCUUACAAUAUAUAGCAUACAUAUAAAGAACUAAAGGGCAACACUCUCAGCUAAAAGAAAACAUUUUGUGUUUCAUUACAGAGCAGUUUUACAGCCCAAAUAGAAGCAAUUGUGAACCAGCUAAGAGGUUUUUCCUGUUACCUUAUUUGAUGAAGUUUCUUUACUGAACCUCCAAGGUCACUCUCAUAUAAAGAAACAGAGUAACAUCUGGAUUUCAAAGAAAAUUAAUCACUUCUUAAAGCUGUCCAAUUACUCUGUUAGAAGGUAUUGUUGUUAAGAAAUUAAAAUGGAAAUACCAGUGCUUGUCUCCUGAGAUUUGGUUGGAGAACCUUCUGGAUUCUAUUCUGUAGUUUGGCUCCUCUGACCUUGGACACAGCUUUUUAACCUUUCUUAACUCAUCUAAAACGUGCCUCAUAGAGGUUUGUUUUGGGUUUAGAAAUGCUUUGACAUUUUUGGAUUAAAGGUGAAGUGGACAAAAAUGCUAUUCUAAGGAAGCUUGGAGGCUAAUGAAAUAUUUUUAUUAUUCUUUUCAACUUUCGUCUCUGGAAGGGCAAGGAGUGUUUUAUUCUUGGAUCAUUUACUUAUUCAGCAAACAUUUACUGAGUACCAUGUACUACACCAUGACCAGCACCCUCCUCUGCUCUCCUGGUGCGGUGCCAUCAGGCGAUGCUUCUGAAAACACGGCAAAGGACCUUUAUUUCCCUUAUGGAAUGUGAGUGCUUGGUGGCCCUAUAUAGGCAAGAGUGGAAUUUUCUGUCUCCCCCAUAUAUAACUUGUACUUUACAAUAUCCUGCCUUACUGCUAUUGAAUGUGUCACAAGCAUUUGCUAUUAGAAGGUAAGCUCCUUGAAGGAGGAAUCCAUGGCUUACUUUUCCAUUACUCUAUUCAGUACAAAAGAGUAGUGAGGAAUUCUUUACCAAGGAGUCCACGAUGGAUGCGUUUCGCAGCACUUGUGUACUCCCUGAAACUGUAAAACAUUAUUUUUGCAUGUACAGUUUUCUGUGAAGAAGGUCCAUCAUUUUCAUUAGAUUCUCAAAGGGGUAAGUGGCUCGUGGUUGACCUCUGUAGGUUAACCACUCUAAUGGGCUUUUGAUGACUACUUGAAUGGUAGAAACUAUAGAAAAACAGAUAUGACCUUGAUGUAUGAGACAGUGUUGUCAUGAUUAGAAGUCAUGCUUGGGGAUGGCUCUCAGUUCUACAACACUGGAGAUGUUAAAUUAACAGCUGGAUAACCCUUCAGUGAUAAUAAUGUAGGGAUGUUGAUCUACUCUCUUUGCUCUAUGAUUCUAUGAUAAUAUCAGUCUUCACUAGAGAAUACUUCUAAUUCUUCACGUACAUGUACCCUCUCAUUUCCGUUUUUGUGUGACUCAGUCUUUGGACUAUUUAUACACCUAAAGAAUCUUUUUGAUGGAUAACCAGAGGCCUACAAAUUAAUCCAUGAGAACCAUGGCCCUGAGGAUAUGUGAAAUACCGAAUAACAGGCAGGGAGCUUGGCAUGAACUCUAGAAAUAAAGAGAGGGUAGAAUGAUUUUUGAGUUGAGGAUAGAAGUAUCAGAAGAUAGGAGUUGACAAGCAGGUUGACACAGUUGCUAAUAGGUUAAACAGACUAGGAUUUAAUUGAGUGCUAAAUUGGGCUAGUUACCUUUAAAUUUAGGCCUCUGAGCAAUUUUGGUUUGUGCUGCAAUUUUGCUACUUUCAUUCAAAGAAAUUAGGACAAUGCAACUCCAGAGAUGAGUUGCAGAAAUGCAAAGUAGUAAAAACAUAUUCAUUUUCAAGUAUGAACAUAUACAGGUUUGUGCAUGAGUAUAUAAAUGUAUGCAACAACAUGCUCGUGCCUUGAUACCUGUGGAGAUGUGGAUCCAUCCACAUGAAUGCAUUACUUCACACAUAUACCAAAUGUAAGGAGGAUUAAAUACUUAUCUAAUAGAAAACUUUCACUUGCAGGGAAAUAGGAAAUAGAGCAUUUCAAAGCAGUCGAAUAUCCAAUGGAUGAGAAAAAUAUUUUAGGUAAUAUACUGAUGCCUCUUUCAGGGUUAAUGUCAUGAAACUUCACAGGGUGUAUAAGUAUCUGAAUAGAGACAGAACUCAAGCUGAUAGUAUCAUACCAAGUGAUAGUGUAGGUGAGAGAAGUCCUAAAGAUAUCCAUUAUAGUCUAAAGGAAACUGGCUAUAUUACAUGCUCCAGUUUUCCUUGGAGAAGUGUGUUUGUUAAAUUGUGAUCACCAACAUCUCCAGUCCCAGUUUUUUAGGUUGGACGUAGGGGGCCUUUAAGCAAGUGCUUCCUCAGAAUGCUUUCUGGUGAUCUUCUAAGCUGGCUGUUUUCCUCUUUAGCAUUCUGCAAAGUCUCACUUAGCAUCCUUUAGCUUGUGAAUUUUUGAUGAGUAUGGUACUGCUAUUUUUACAUAAGUUUUGUAAACUCCUUUGAGGAAUGCAGAGGUACAUGGAAAGAAGAAGAUUGUGGUGAGCUUCUUCCUUUAUUUAAUCCGUCCAUGCCCCAACCUCACAGAGACCAGUAUAAAGCUGUAGCUGUAAAAGCUAACUGAUUUGCCCAGUGUUUUUGUUUUGAAGGACAUCAACUAUUUUUAGCAACAAAGAAGUGUUAGGAAGGGGAGGAAGGCAUACCUCAGGACAGAGCUGAAAUGAAGCCCAGAAUCCUGAAGAGAGUGGAGUGGAAAAGCAAGAGUACCUUAGUGAAAGGUCGCCUAAGUGGAGAGUGUAGAUCUAAUGUUCUGGAUGGUUGUAGGAAACCCUCAAUUAAGAGCUCUGUUAAUGGAGAAUUUAGGAAAUGUUAUUAAAAAUUCUCUUAGCCAGCCUAAUAAAGGACAUCAGGACGUGCAAACUGAGCUCGUUGUUUAAUUUGUACAGUAAUCUGUAUUUUGGGGGGGGGGGUUUGAAAUCAACUAUCAACAUGCUUAUUGAGCAACUAUACUUGUACAAAGCAUUGUGCUAGGAAAUGUGUGUGAAGGGUGGGAGGAUGGCAUUUAAAAAUACAAGAUGAGUACAUGUUCUCCAAAAAUAUACAGGAAGCUAUGUGUUAGGAACUGUGUUGGGUGCUUUCCAUAUGUUAUCCCAUUUAAUCUUUCAAACAAAUAUUAGGAAUUAUAAUCAUCCCUAUUUUACAGAUGAACAGCCUGAGACUCAGAGAAGUUAAAUUCUUUCCUCCCUCUUUUCCCUCCCUCCUGCCUUCCUUCCUGUUUCCUUCUCUUUCUUUCAACAAAGUUGAACUAAAAGGCUAAUAGAACAUGGUGUCUUUCUCCCAAGGUUUCACUUUGUCUGAAGGUAGCAGAAUUGUAGCUAUGUAAUUGCUGCUAUAGCAGAGGAAUGAACUCAGCAAUAUGGGAGUUCAGAGUAUGAAGCCUUCUGUUCUAUGUGGAUAUCAGAGAAGACUUCCUGGAAGAGGACAUGUUUGAGUUGAGUCUUAAAAGAUAAGAAAGAGUCCGUUAGUAGACAAGGAAGAUAAGGCAACAGUAACAGCGUGGCAGAUACUGCUGGCUUCUCGCUCAACAGCCAUUACCUUUUGUCUUUCUGGAGAAAGCCAAGAUUUUGCUCAGGUGUUCCUUUUCCUACUUGAUCUGAGGGAGAGUGACCGUAUCCCUACCUUCAGGAGUAAGUACUGAGUGGUUUAAGCCGAUUAUGGUGAGUCCAUCCCUCUAGUUUGAUUAGCUUAGGGGUGGGCAUUUGAACGAGUUCUGGCCAAGGCCAUAUAAAAGGAAAUCUGCUGGGUGACUUAGGAAAUGUUUCUUGCCCUUAAGAGGGAGACACUGGAAGAGAUAGCCAUCUUUUUUUGUCUCUAGGUAUUGCUGUACUUGGAAGGGAUGUUUAGAACUACCACGGCCGUCUUGUGACCAUGAAGGGAGCCAAUCUGAGGGCAAAUAAAAUUUUCUGAGGAUGGUAAAGCAAAGAAAUAAAAACCAGUGUCUUCAAUGACAUCGUUGAGUUCAUGGACAACUGUGCCUGCUUUUCAAUUCAUGUUACCUGGUGUUAUAAUUGUCUUUGUUCCAUCAGCAGGUUUGGAUUGAAGUCUUCUGCAAUGGCAUCCUCACUGAUAACAGAGCAGAUGCAAAUCAUAGGGCUCAGAAAGGUCACAGGGCACUUAGAAAUGGACAAUAGUUCCUCACGUCUGAAAUGCAGGAUAUUGUGGAGUGGAGAGUGUGAUGACGGCUAGAGAUAAGGUGAAAUACUAGACAAGGGUCAGAUCAUGAAGGGCCUUGUAUGUUAGGAUCAGACAUUUGCACUUUAUUUUGUACGUACUGGGGAGGCAUUGAAAAGUUUCAAGCAAGGUAAUGGUAUAAUUAGGUUUGCAGUUUAGAAGCAUUCGUCUGACUACUGUGUGGUGGAUUGAAGAGUACCCUCUGAUAAGACACCGAGGUCAUUCAGUUCAAGAACAAAUGGAUUCACAUGCAGGUGGGUCUCUCUCCAUUAUCCUUCCAUUUUAGCUUGGAAAGACAGAGGUUAAGAAAAUAUAUGCAAAGUGGGAAAUUAGAGGAGCAGACAGUAAGCAUUUCAGAAUUUCAUCAGAGAAGAGCACGUUGGGGGUCAUGGAGAGUUUCAAGAAACAGAUUGGAUUUGAGCUGAAUGCCGAAGGACUUAGAAACCUUGGAGGUUGAGUAGAGCAUGAAACAACACAGAGGAAUGGCAAGUCAAGCUGGAAUGGAGAGUUUUAUGGGGGGAGGAUAAAGAUGGGAUGGUCACUUGCAAUCAAAAGGGCAGAGAAAAGAAAUGAAUCUUUACCCUGAUUCCACCACUUAGCAGUUGUGGAAUGCUGGGUUUGAUAUACUUUUAUUUCCUAAUUGUUUUAAUUGGGAUUACAAACAUACGCUUUAUUAACAUCACCAAGCGAUGUCAUACAGAUAUCGGAUGCCCCCUGAUGUCAUGUGAUGAGAAAGACACUUGCCUGUGUGGUAUCCUUUCCAAAAACCCUAACCCUGGUCUAAUCAUGAGAAGAACAUCAGACAAACCCAAUUUGAGGAACAUUCUACAAAAUAUCUGACUAGCACUCCUCAAGACUGUCAAGGUAAUGAAAAACAAAGACAGACUGAGAAACUGUCACAGACCAGAGGAAACUAAGAGGACAGGACAACUGAAUGCCAUGUAUAUUCUGGACUAGAUCCUAGAUCAGAAAAAAGACAUUAAUGAAAAAAAUAGUGAAAACUGAAUACAAUUUAGGUUUAGUUCACACUAAUUUACCACCGUUGGUUUCUUAAUUCUGACAAACUAACCACCGUAAUAUAAAUAGUAACAACAGGGGCCAAUGAAACUGAGUGAGGGAUAGGCUAUCACUGCUGUCUUUGCAACUUUUCCAUAAAUCUAAAAUUAUUCCAAAAUAAAGAUUUUAUUUAAAAACAAGAUCUCCUUCACUGAGUUGUUAUGAGGAUUGAGUGAAAGGAUCCAUAUAAGGCAGCUGGUAUAGUGCCUGACGCAUAACAGGGCCUCAAAUGUUUCUCUCUAAACUAGAGAUUCUCAAAUUUAGGGUGUGUAAAAAUCACCUAGAGGUGUUUUGUCAGAAAUGCAAACAAACCCCAGGGCAUCAGUCUCAGAGAUUCUGAUUUAGUAGGUCUAGAAUAGGGCUCAGGAAAAAGAAUUUGUUAAUAGGUGCCCUCUAGAGAUCUUGAUGUGGGGCUUGCUGCUCUAGACUAUAGGGAUCCUGGGGUGAGAGCUGUACAUUCCCCUGAGGAGGAAAAUAAUGGAGAUAUAACGCCUGCCUACUUGCCUCAAAUGGGUGGAAGGGAGAAAAGGGGAAAAUAUAGAAGCAAGCGCUUCAAAAAUUGUAAGUUACAAUUUAAAUCGUUACAGAUUAAUUUGGGAUGAAACAGAGGUCUGAUUAGCUAGCCAUUUAAUAAUAACAGUGUGGUUGAAAUCUAACUUUUAUUCAUUUCAGCCACCUAAAAAUAUUCAGCUGCUUUUCCUGCUGAAGCACUCAGAUGACCCACAGGACAAAGGCACAGUUCAACCCCUUCAAUUACGGAUGAGCUAAAUGAAGCUGAGGGACGAGAUGUGACUGGUUCAAGGUCACAGAACCAGUGACUGAGAGAACGGAUUAGAACCCACUCUUUUUUUCAGCUUCAUUGAGAGCUGGCAAGCCACAGCGGGAUGGCCGUCCCCUGAGAGAGAGGAGAGGAGGAGAACGAGCCCAGCAGGGGCCUGGAGCAGCUGGCUGGCAUCAAUAAUUUCCUGCAGGAGAUUUUGCUGGCUGAGUACACGUCACCUGUCUGUUGCCCCUCUGCGUCUGCCCUGUGGUACUAAAAUAAACUAAA
ensembl:lncRNA